rnacentral:sRNA from 1 species
UUUGGCGACAUCAACCUGUUCUGACUGCUGGAAGAGUUUUCCCACCGCUUCGCUGAUGGCUGGAUGCCAGCUCACGGCGCGGACGACGGCGUCAUCCAGGUUUAAUACGCCCGGUGGCGUUUUGCUGGCCGGAAGCGCAACGCGGCCUUCAAGAGAGGGAAGUUCCUGCUCAGCACUCAGCUGUUCGGCAUUGAUCACCACCGCCUGAGCAGGCAACACGGGUACAGAAAACAGGCAGCACGAGAGCCACCAGCGAGGCCAUCUUUUUCUCAUGUCUUGUCCCUAAUAAAAAAAGUACCGCUUUAUGUUGUCUAUGCCCGGGCGGCGAGCGCCCGGGUCAUUAUU